UACGUAGGGGGCGAGCGUUGUCCGAAUUUACUGGGCGUAAAGCGCGCGUAGGCGGUUUCUUAAGUCUGGGGUGAAAGGUUCAACGCUCAACGUGAACAGUGUCUUGGAUACUGGGAGACUUGAGUCUGGGAGGGGGUAGUGGAAUUCCUGGUGUAGCGGUGAAAUGCGUAGAUAUCAGGAGGAACACCGGUGGCGAAGGCGGCUACCUGGCCUAAGACUGACGCUGAGGUGCGAAAGCGUGGGGAGCGAACGGG
rnacentral:rRNA from 1 species